CGAGAGAGAGCUUGCUUUCUCGAGCGAGUGGCGAACGGGUGAGUAACGCGUGAGGAACCUGCCUCAAAGAGGGGGACAACAGUUGGAAACGACUGCUAAUACUGCAUAAGCCCACGGGUCGGCAUCGACCAGAGGGAAAAGGAGCAAUCCGCUUUGAGAUGGCCUCGCGUCCGAUUAGCUAGUUGGUGAGGUAACGGCCCACCAAGGCAACGAUCGGUAGCCGGACUGAGAGGUUGAACGGCCACAUUGGGACUGAGACACGGCCCAGACUCCUACGGGAGGCAGCAGCGGGGAAUAUUGCACAAUGGGGGAAACCCUGAUGCAGCGACGCCGCGUGGAGGAAGAAGGUCUUCGGAUUGUAAACUCCUGUUGUUGGGGAAGAUAAUGACGGUACCCAACAAGGAAGUGACGGCUAACUACGUGCCAGCAGCCGCGGUAAAACGUAGGUCACAAGCGUUGUCCGGAAUUACUGGGUGUAAAGGGAGCGCAGGCGGGAAGACAAGUUGGAAGUGAAAUCUAUGGGCUCAACCCAUAAACUGCUUUCAAAACUGUUUUUCUUGAGUAGUGCAGAGGUAGGCGGAAUUCCCGGUGUAGCGGUGGAAUGCGUAGAUAUCGGGAGGAACACCAGUGGCGAAGGCGGCCUACUGGGCACCAACUGACGCUGAGGCUCGAAAGUGUGGGUAGCAAACAGGAUUAGAUACCCUGGUAGUCCACACCGUAAACGAUGAUUACUAGGUGUUGGAGGAUUGACCCCUUCAGUGCCGCAGUUAACACAAUAAGUAAUCCACCUGGGGAGUA
rnacentral:rRNA from 1 species